rnacentral:lncRNA from 1 species
UCAAUGUCAUUAUUGCAAUUUACUUUAAACAAUUACAUUCCUAGGGAUUGAAUUUUAUCUUGUCACCCUAGGUUGCAAACCCUUUUCUAGCUUUAAGGAAAGUGUAGAAAUAGAAAUAUUCUUAUGUUACUAAUUAAAUUUAUUUAGUGUUGUGAUUUUAGUUGGAACUGCCUAUUCACCCCCCUCUAGUCAGUAUCCUAGAUCCAUAAGGCCACCACAAGGGGAUAUGGAAACAUGGCCAGUGCGGGUGGAGGUAAGAGCACAGUGGUUAGGAGACGGUAGUAGUGCAGGCGGAGGUAGGAGAGUGGUGACCUAUGAUAGAUGAGUGGGAGAGAGAAGUUAGAGAUGGAGGGAUUGGAAAAUAAAAUAGUGCUGAUAAGGGACCCACAAUAACUUUGGGUGAGGUUCUAUAGUUAGAUCCCAGGUGAUCUUUUAUGCUAUAUAUAGCACUACAAGAAAUUUUCCAAUUUAUGAUGAAAAUUUUACGAUACAUGUCAAAACUGAAAAUGUCAUAAAAUUUUGCAUCUGAGUAAAUUUAGUGAGAAAGUUACAAAACGUCAUAAAAGUUAUCAUCGAAGCCAAAUAGACAACGCCACUCACUAUUACAUGGUGGUUUUGUGAUGAUAUAAGGUCCGCAAAAACAUCAUAAACCAGCAGGAUCCCACAUGUAAGCAAGUGUUGAAAAAUAAGGUGUGCAAAAACGUAAUAAACCGAGGGGGUCCCUCAUGUGAGCAUGAGUUGAGAAAUAAGGUUUUCCAAUUCAUCAUAAACUCUGCUAGGGUCCCACAUGUCAGUUUGAGAUAAAAAGGAAGGAAAAUAAAAAAGGAAAGAAUGUCCAUACCAGGGGUCGAGCUUGUGACCUCUUGCUUCUGACAAGUGACAAGUCAGCACUAUUACUGAGACAUGACAUAGUUAUGUUUUUAUUGAAAGGCACUUCUUUUAUAUUAUGGUUCCAAUAUGUGUGGUCCACUUCCCAGUUGCAGGCCAGAUAAAUGGGUAUAUUAUUAUUUAUCAUUUCUCUACACAGUGUACACUGCAAGGAACUCGCCGCCACGCUCCUGUUGGCUGUGGCAAAGACUAGAGCCUAGAGGCGUCUGUGUGCAGAUCUACAACGGGUGGCAGGAAUGGCGCAUCCUAGCGGCGAAGGAAGUAGUAGGAGCUACAGUUAAGUCAGUCCUCUAUUUUGUGCCUCUACUUUCCCCUAUCGUCAGAGGGAAGGGGAUUUGGGCUGAAGGCACUAGAUUCCAAUUUCAUCCUACCCUUACG